rnacentral:rRNA from 1 species
UCAAUAAGCGGAGGAAAAGAAACUAACAAGGAUUCCCCUAGUAACGGCGAGUGAAGCGGGAAGAGCUCAAAUUUGUAAUCUGGCGGUCUCGCGGCCGUCCGAGUUGUAAUCUGGAGAAGCGUUUUCCGUACCGGCCCGCGUACAAGUCCCCUGGAACGGGGCGUCGCAGAGGGUGAGAAUCCCGUCUUUGACGCGGUCCAGCCCGGUGCCAUGCGAAGCGCUCUCGAAGAGUCGAGUUGUUUGGGAAUGCAGCUCAAAACGGGUGGUAAAUUCCAUCUAAAGCUAAAUAUUGGCGAAAGACCGAUAGCGAACAAGUACCGUGAGGGAAAGAUGAAAAGCACUUUGGAAAGAGAGUCAAACAGUACGUGAAAUUGUUGAAAGGGAAACGCUUGAAGUCAGUCGCGUCUCCCGGGACUCAGUCGGGACCCUUCGCGGGGAACCGUCGCACUUCCCGGGUUUUUGACGGGCCAGCGUCGAUUUCGACCGUCGUAAAAAGGCGAGGGGAACGUGGCACCUCCGGGUGUGUUAUAGCCCAACGUCGUAUGCGGACGGUCGGGAUCGAGGGACGCAGCGCGCCGUCUAUUCGGCCGGGGUUCGCCCACGUAACGCGCUUAGGACGCUGG